UACAGAGGGGGCGAGCGUUGUUCGGAAUUACUGGGCGUAAAGGGCGCGUAGGCGGCCAACUAAGUCAGACGUGAAAUCCCUCGGCUCAACCGGGGAACUGCGUCUGAUACUGGAUGGCUUGAAUUCGGGAGAGGGAUGCGGAAUUCCAGGUGUAGCGGUGAAAUGCGUAGAUAUCUGGAGGAACACCGGUGGCGAAGGCGGCAUCCUGGACCGACACUGACGCUGAUGAGCGAAAGCCAGGGGAGCAAACGGG
rnacentral:rRNA from 1 species